rnacentral:rRNA from 1 species
GACGUAGGGGGCUAGCGUUGUCCGGAAUCAUUGGGCGUAAAGCGCGUGUAGGCGGUUCGGUAAGUCCGCUGUGAAAGUCGGGGGCUCAACCCUCGGAAGCCGGUGGAUACUGUCGAGCUAGAGUACGGAAGAGGCGAGUGGAAUUCCUGGUGUAGCGGUGAAAUGCGCAGAUAUCAGGAGGAACACCAAUUGCGAAGGCAGCUCGCUGGGACGUUACUGACGCUGAGACGCGAAAGCGUGGGGAGCAAACAGG